GCAAACUUGGUCAUUUAGAGGAAGUAAAAGUCGUAACAAGGUUUCCGUAGGUGAACCUGCGGAAGGAUCAUUAUCGAAUGUAAUAUGGGGGAUGUUGCUGGCUGUCUUGAUGGCAAUGUGCACUCCUCUUCUAUUCCAAAAAUCCAACCUGUGCACACCGAGUAGGUAAUGGAUUAAGUUCCAUGGCCUAUGUUAUACACACACACAAGUGAAAGAUUGUAUAUAUAUAUAAAGAAGUAAACAACUUUCAACAAUGGAUCUCUUGGUUCUCGCAUCGAUGAAGAACGCAGC
rnacentral:misc_RNA from 1 species